rnacentral:lncRNA from 1 species
GGGAAAUCUCUGAUUUAAAGAAUACCUUCCUUGACUAGGUAAGGAACUGAGUAAUAAGAGGUUAGUAGUAUACAGAUGUUAGUUUCUGAUAUUAAAAAAAAAGCAGGAUAACAAAGGAGAUUAACUGGACAGUUCAUCUUCAUUGAGUUAGGAACUAAUCAGGAAAACAGAAAUUAUAUUAAAUAUGAGCCAUUAUUUAAAAGGUUUUGGAAGGGAUGGGGGUAUAGUUCAGUGGUUGAGCAUUUGUCUGCUGAAAGCAGGAGCCAGAAAUAUAACAGGCAGACAGGGCAGGGACCUCCAUCACAAUAAUUCCAUGUACAAAGUAUCUGAUAGGCCAUAUAGCACGAUAUCAAGCACAUGAUCAACAUCCUGAUUGGACACGUGGGUGCAUGAUCACAGAGUGUCACACUCUGGAUGUAGAAACUCCUCUCCCUAAAAGUCAUUGCCAUUAGCUUUAAAGGUCACCUCCAACAAAUACCUUUUAACCCCUUAGCAACUCUGCAGCAACCCACUUGGAACCCCUCUCUUAUUGGAGCUCCACUUCCUGUCUUUAAAAAAUUAAUUCUGGGACUGGAGUUGUGGCUCAGCAGUAAGUAAAGCAAGCGCUCGCCUAGCACGGGCGAGGCCCUGGGUUUGAUCCUCAACACUACAUAAAAAUAAAAUAAAGGUAUUGUGUCCAACUGCAACUAAAAAAAAAUUAAAAAAAUAAAAUUAAUUCUGUUACUUUAUUCUCUGUUGUCCAUGGUCAUCUGGAAUCAUCCAGAUUAUCAGGAUUAUCAGAUGGGUGAGUAAAAUGGACCAACAGAACCAUCAGUCUUGUUUUCUGGAGUUCUUUUAGAAAAAUCUGCCUCAGUCCAAAAUAUAUAUCAGGCAUCUGUCAGCCAGCUAAAAGCAGUUAAUGUAGCCACCAAUCUAAGGACAAAGGCGACAAUCUUAAGGAGGCUGGAUCAAUCCCCUUUGUCUCUGACAGAGGACUGUUGGUCAAGCUCUGUUUCAGCUUCUCUCCUUGGAACACAAGCCGGGUUGACCUGACCAGUUCAAACAUCCAUAUCUUCCUUUCACUUUUUGACUGACUUGGCUCAAUGUUGCAGAGUGCCCUCACCAAAUAUAUUUUGGAUCCUGAGACAAAGUCUUAGUCUGAUUCAAGCUCUUUUUUUUUUUUUUUCUCUGUGGUGCUAGGGAUUGUGCAUGCAAGGUAAGCACUCUACCAACUGAGCUAUAUUCCCAAGCCCUGGUUCAAGCUCUUUGGGAAAGUGGCAACUCACUAAUCCCCAGAACAUGAGCCAAACUUUCUAUACUCUACUAAAAAUGCCUUUCUCUCAUGUUUGCUGUAGAUUUCAUGUAGACCCAGAUUUCUUGAUAUGCUCCUCCAAACCCCAGUUGUCUCACUAGGACUCAUAGAUAAAUAAGGCUAUUGGGAAUUUAAACAAGCUGUUGAGAGUUUAAGAAAGUUGCAGGUAGUUUGUGGAAGGUAAAUAUCAAAAAGUUUGUGAAUGUUAUUAAAUUGGCUAUAAAUUGUAAGGUCAGUUAAGGUGGUAUAAGUUUUUUUUCUGGGUUCAAGUUUUGUUGUGCUGGUGCAGGCCAGAGUUCUCUGUGUCUUGGAUCAGUGGGGUUUUCUUGAAGCAUUGUCAGGAUGAUUUCUUCUUUCUGUUGGGAUUUGGUUGAUUGGGAGGCUGGGUCUUAGGGGGUUGGAGAUCAUACCGGUUUGGGGGUCUUUUGAAUGUCUGCUUCAUGACGGAUUGAACAGAUGACUGUUGAUUUGGAUUGUUGCAGUAUGGUUGACUUCCUAGGUGUGUGUGGCUGACUCUAUACUGGGAUCUGGGUGUGUUUGUCAGGGAGGUUUGUCUGAGUGUUGAUGUGGGGGUUUGUGGAGUGGGGACUUGUAUGAGCUUGGUACAGUCAGGAUGGUUCGCCUGUGUUAAACCUACAUGGGCUUUAAUUUUACAGACUUUUGCAUUGGAACUUAGAGCUCUCAAGUGGGCGUGUAUGGUUCUCAGGUGUGUGCAUGUACCUGGUUACUAUUUGGUGUAUUGGUUGUAUUGUGGUGGCCUAGAAUGACAAUUGUCUGGCCAGUUAUGAGGUGGUCAUUUGGGGGACUUUGGAACAGGUGCAGGAUCUGAUUCUUUGGGACUUUGUUUGCUUGAGUAGUGGGAGCCUGGCUGAUGUAGGAAGUUGUCUUGACACAAGCAGAUUGGGAUUUUGGGAGGAACUUGUUGAUUUGACAUAUGGAGUGUUGGAUUCUAAUUUGUGUCAGUGCACUGAGGUUUGACCUAAGAGAAUACUUGAAUGAUAACUUCUUCCCUAUGGAGUGAGGCACAAUUCUCCCCGCCAAAAGUCUUUCAACUGAUGGUAGGCUUAACACAGGCAGGCCAGGGUUUAUCAUAAUGGACAGGGAAUCACAGGACGUGCAAGGCCAUGUCAGUAAAAGUGACUACUCCAAUAGGCCACAACCCUUUACCAAGGUCACUCAUGGAGGAAAGGGAAGGAAUCUAAGGGAAUUAAAAGAUGCAAGGAGAAUACUCUGAUAGGCCACAACUCUUCACAUGAGAAAGGGAAGGAACAUCAGGGAUGCCCUGGUCAGGAAAAAUAACAGAAUCCCAUGUUCUUCUCCUUUUUAUCUUACAGAUGGGACAUACUCCCUGUGAUGUCGACACACACUUAGAAUGUAUCUCAAAUAGUUGGGAUCAAUUUAAUCCACAAAUUCUAAAAAAGAAAUGCCUGAUAUUUUUCUGCACCCAAGCCUGGCCUGAAUAUAAGCUGGAGGAUAGAAAAAUGUCCUCUCAAGGGAAGCAUAAACUAUAACACCUUCUUUUUACAACUGGCUUGUCAGAAGUGCCCUGUGUACAAGCUUUGUGCCUCUCAUGCUCAAAACAGCAGCUUUCCUUGCCCCUUAGUUGCAUGCAGGAUAUUCACCUGGGAUGUAGGAUGCAUGAAUAAGUGCCCCAAAUUUGAGAACAGAGGAAAAAAGUGUCACUUUUAAAUCAAAACCACUAUUGGACAUAAAUGGCUAUUUUAUAUUUUCUUGUACUCUGGGAUUCUGUUUCAUCAAAUUCCUCCCCAAAUGCAAAAGAAAUGGAGUGAUGGAAUGCCCUUCUGUAAAGGCCCUAGACCUUUUGAGGAGAUGUACAUUCUGCUUUUGAGACAACAUCACAGGUGCUCAGCUUCAGAAAACUGACAUGACAGGCCCUGUAAUGUCGGGGAACACCCUAAUUCCCAUGGGGUUUUCUUUUCUCUCCAGGGUGGGCACCAGGAAGGAAAAUGAAAAGAUCCUGUAUCUGGGCUGACUCUAAUCUGAUCCAAAAGUAUGUUCUGGUCUGAUAAAGAUAUUCCAUGUGCUCCUUUACUAGCAUAAUUAUGGCUGUGUCAUUUUUCCCCCCCAAAAAAUCUCUUUUUUUGAGCUCAUAAGUUCUCUGGUAAAUUCACCUUUGGUCCUGCAUGCCUAAAUUAAUAUAUCUUUUUGUUCCAAUUAGUCUUAUCUAACUUGUGUUUUCUUUAGCCCUCAUUUUUUUCCUGCUCUAUUCAGAGAACAAUUAUUCAAGGGUUAACUCUCAAAUACACUGGAAAAAGAGAUAUCCUUUAAAGAAUCCUAAGGAGGGUGAUAAACAGUGGUAAUAGUGGGAGUAAGUCUGCCCCCAUGCAGGACAGGUGGCCAGCUGAUCCUUGGAUUUCAGCAUCCACCAGGGCUGACAAACUCUACUCCUAAUAUCCCCAAUUGCACAGGCCCUCUCCAUGUCUGAGUCAUUGUGCAUACCUGUGUAUUGAAUUUCAUGUCUACAUAUGAACUUGUACCUACAUUGUUUACAUGUUACCAAAAAUUGACUUGUAGAUUUCCGAAGUCUGGCUGGGCACAAUUCAGGAGCCACUUGUCAAAAGAAACGAACUUUAUUUUUAGAACACACACACUGCACCACACAGCUCUUCAGGAAAACCCUCAGAGCCCAACUGUCACCACCGGCUUCCCACAAGCCUCUCCACCUCCCCAACUCCUCCUGCUCUUGAGGCCGAUUGGUUGGGUCGUGUGGGCGGAGCCAAAAAGUCCCCCAAUGAGCAGCUCCAUGGUCUGAAAGCGGGGGAAAUAACCCAAUGAGCAUCACCGCAGAGGAGCCAAUCAGUUGGCAGCUAGAAGUUUGCUGGGGCCGCUGUGAGCCAAUCAUCAGCUGGCAGCUGGAAGUUUGCUGGCAGCUGGAAGUUUGCUGGGGCCCCUUUUGCUGGGGCCCCUUCUGCUGGGGCCACUGUGAGCCAAUCAUCAGCUGGCAGCUGGUGCUGGCAGCUGGAAGUUUGCUGGGGCACCUUUGGCUGUGGCUCUCAACAGUAGAUAAAUGAAUACUCAUAAAUUUUUUAAAAAGGAUCCAAAUACCUUUUAGUUUAUGUGACUUAAAUAAAAAUUUUUAACAAAAGGAUAAAUUUAAUUGGAAAAGUAAAGAUAUCUUUUUUUAAUAUUUUUUAAUUGUAGAUGGAUAUAUACCUUUAUUUUAUUUAUUUUUAUAUGGUGCUGAGGAUCAAACCCAGUGCUUCACACGUGUUAGGCAAAUGCUCUGCCACUGAGCUACAACCCCAGUCCAGUAAAGAUAUCUUUAAAAUUACUAACCUACUUAUUUUUCUAGGUGAUCAGCCUGUGGUCAGCCAAUCAAUGGAGUGAUGUUUUCUAUAAAAUGUUUACCAACAAAGUGUAAUGUUCAUUGCUUUUAAGAAUUUUCUUUGUAUGGGGUAAAAAUGGGAGUUCAUAAUCCACUUGAAUCAAAUGUAUGAAAUAUGAUAUGUCAAGAGCUUUGUAAUGUUUAUAACAACUAAUAAUAAAAAAAAAGAAUUUUCUUUGGCAGGUAAAAAAUGGCUUAAAAUGUUAACUAGGCUUGUCUGAUAUCUUGGUUUUCAUGGGUAAAUUAAAUUUAACAUAAAUGGGACUAAUAUUUUUAUACAUGUUUAUUAAAAGAUACUUUAAUUUGCAAUAUUAAGAUACAUAAAUAUCAACUGCUAAAUAAAAUUCUAGAAGAUUAUAGAAGUCUGAUUCAAGGUCUAAUAACAUAGGUUAUUACAUUAUAGUUGACACACUAAAUAAAUGUGAUUAUAGAUACUCAUGUCUGAUAACUAAAUAUGUUUGUCUGAACUUUGUAUAAGUGUUUUGUUAAAGCUUGUAAAAUAAGACCUUAAGUAGGUUUGAUAAAGGCAAGGUAACUAAUAAAUGCUGACUUUUAUAUAUUGUAUCUGACACAAAAGCCGACACUGCCGUUUUAAAACCUGGCUUGUAGCCAGGUGUGGGGCACAUGCCUGUAAUCCCAGCAGUUUGGGAGGCUGAGACAGGACGAUCACGAGUUCAAAGCCAGCCUCAGCAACAGCAAGGUGCUAAGCAACUCAGGAAAACCCUGUCUCUAAAUAACAUGCAAAAUAGGGCUGGGGAUGUGGCUCAGUGGUUGAGUGCCCUUGGGUUCACUCCCUGUUCCCCGUACCCCUCCCCCCCGUGGGGGGUGGGGGAACAACCUGGUUUGUCUGGUUUCUUUUGGGUACAUAAUGUCUUAUUACAUAAAUGGGGUACAUUUAUACAUCAGAUAAGUUUAUUUCUGAUCAUUAAUGCUGUCUCUCUUGUUAAUUUCUUUGGCAUUUUUCUUGUAAAACUUUUUAACUGUCGCCUAACAAUGUUUUGCAGAAGUACUAUUCCUAACAAAAGAACCUGAAUUAAGACAAUAAGCCAUCACCUACAGGAGGGAGAGAACAUAAUGCUGACUUCCAGUACUGAUACUGACCCUAAUUAAACAAAAGGGGUAACUGUCAAAUUGUAGACAUUAAAGCUAAAACUCAUUACUCCUACUUUAAGACUGCUGAAACUGGCUUGCUUUGUAUUUAAAGCCAAAACUUGGAGACAAAAGUUAAGGAAGUAAAAGGGCUAAGAAAAAGAAAACAGCCAAUAUUCUGGUACUUGCCUUCUAAAGUCAGCCAGAACCCUGGAAAUGAUGGACUCAUAAGGGGCCUACAAUUCUGGUGAGUCACCCAAAUUUCUGAUCAGGGGGAUCAUGAGAGCCCUAGAGGACAGGAAGCCAACCAGUGCGUAUUUUGCAAAAAAGAAGGUUAUUGGAGAGGGAAAUGUCUCUGAUCCUUCCAGGGGAAGCCACAUGUGGUCAGCAUGACCCUGACCCAUCCUGAUAGAUGGCAUGGCUAGUAGAAGAAAAGCUAAAGGAGCGAAGAGCUUCUCCCAAGUUCCUAAGAGUUACCCUCUGGCAAAUCUCAGCUGACUUUAACAGUAAAUAGAAACAAGGUCAAUUUUUAACCAACUUGCUCUUGAACACCUGGCUGGAAAGAACAACCAAAGCACAGCCAUACAUGGACUUUGAGAAAGAAAAGACAAUGGUUCUUUUAGUAUAACUCAAGAUGUACACUGUGUCAGUCCUUUCAAGGGUAAGUAAAACUGGGAGGUUAUAAAAGAAUUUUGUUUUUAUAUAGAAGUGCCUGAUAACUAUUACAAAAGGCUCUGUCAGAGUCACAGUUUGUUCUAAGUCAGUUCAAAACUUACAGAUCUUCUUAAAUUCCUACAUAGGUAGGCUCAAUAUGUUUUUCAGUGGUGUGAUUAUUUAGCCCUGAUAUUUAUCCCUCUAAAAGAUAUAAUGUAGCACAUGGAAGCCUAACCAACUUUACCAAGAGAACCCUACAUGACAUAGCUAAAGGGAUCUCUCUACAAAACGAAGGUAAUGGUAAUAAAAAGCUAUUUAUAGGCAAAAAUUUGAUGACAGUUCAACAGAUCCCUGAAGCCUAUGAAAUUUGUCAAAAGAAAAAUCGCCUUAACAAAAAGGUAGCUCCUCUGGUAUACAAUGUUAAAGGUAAAUAUCUUGCUUGGGGAAGACUGGCAACUAGAUUGCCCUUACAUGCCAAUGUCAAGAGUCAUGCAAGUGUACAAUGAGUCAAAAUGCAUUUUUCUGUUAUAUAUACCUAAUUAAAAUAAAUAAAUAAACUUUCUUUAAAAAGAGCAAUAUCUCUGGUCUGGGUAGACAAUUGGGUGGAAGAGUUCCCUUGCAGGAUGGAAAGGGCCUUGGAAGUAAUUAAAGUUUAUGUCUCUGAAAUCAUACCCAGGUUUGGAAUUCCCAAAGUUUAC